AUGGAGGAAACUCUGACCGAGCAACGCCGCGUGAAUGACGAAGUACUUCGGUAUGUAAAGUUCUUUUAUCAAGGAAGAAUGACUCGUGGAAAAACGAGAGUGACGGUACAAGAUGAAUAAGCCCCGGCUCACUAUGUGCCAGCGCCCGCGGUAAUACAUAGGGGGCAGGGGUUAUCCGGAAUUAUUGGGCGUAAAGGGUGCGUAGGCGGACGUUUAAGGCUUUGGUGUAAGUGCAAGGCUCAACCUUGUGAUGCUAAGGAAACUGGAUGACUUGAGUGUGAUAGAGGUAAGUGGAAUUCCAUGUGUAGCGGUAAAAUGCGUAAAUAUAUGGAGGAACACCAGUGGCGAAGGCGGCUUACUGGGUCACAACUGACGCUGAGGCACGAAAGCGUGGGGAGCAAACAGGAUUAGAUACCCUGGUAGUCCACGCCCUAAACGAUAAGUACUAAGUGUUGGAGAAAUUCAAUGCUGUAGUUAACGCAAUAA
rnacentral:rRNA from 1 species